GCUCUGGUUGCCUAGUGGUUAGAGCGUCUGCCUCAGAUGUGGGAGGUCAUAGGUUCAAACCUCAGAACA